UGGAGCUAAAAUUUGAAACAACAUGAUAGACUGAGACUGAGGAUAGAUAGAAGCUGGAAGUCUGAGGAGAGAAGAGCAAGUAUGAAGUAAGCAUGUACACUUGAGAGAGGCAGAGUGAGCUACUGAAUGCAGUGUGGAAGUUGGCCAUGGCUAGAGAUCUGAUGUCUCUGUAUUAUCAUUUUCUUCAAUCGCUACAAGGAAUGCUUGAGUGAGAUCAGAGGAUCAUUAAAGUCAGGAUGAAACAUAAAAAAUGAAAUCCAGCUCUACACCCAUGCUCCUGCAAAGACUACCUCAACAGAACUGAGUUACUCUAUUGAUAUCUAAAGAUACAGCAACAGCAUACAUUGUGCAUAAAGUAGAAGGAGUUGUGGGGUCCAAUGCAUUAUUUUCUGUGAUCUUUCCACUCUUGGUCUGUGUUGCCCUACUCUGCCUCAGACAUCACAUUGGGCCCAAAUUGUCUCCAUUUAUCUACAACAAGGAAGCAAAGAUUUUAAAGCAAAGGAACAUUGCUGCAUUCACAAUAACCUUAACCAUAACCUGCAACUUCUACCCCAGCUUGAGGAUUUUAGCUCAAGAACCCAAACUUUCC
rnacentral:lncRNA from 13 species